ACGGAGGGGGCUAGCGUUGUUCGGAAUUACUGGGCGUAAAGCGCACGUAGGCGGCUUUGUAAGUUAGAGGUGAAAGCCCGGAGCUCAACUCCGGAACUGCCUUUAAGACUGCAUCGCUCGAACGUCGGAGAGGUAAGUGGAAUUCCGAGUGUAGAGGUGAAAUUCGUAGAUAUUCGGAAGAACACCAGUGGCGAAGGCGACUUACUGGACGACUGUUGACGCUGAGGUGCGAAAGCGUGGGGAGCAAACAGGA
rnacentral:rRNA from 1 species